GGGGGUUUAGCUCAGGGGUAGAGCGCUCGCUUUGCAUGCGAGAAGUCGGGGGUUCGAAUCCCCCAU
rnacentral:tRNA from 1 species